rnacentral:rRNA from 1 species
CUGGAGGUAUCAGAAGUGCGAAUGCUGACAUAAGUAACGAUAAAGCGGGUGAAAAGCCCGCUCGCCGGAAGACCAAGGGUUCCUGUCCAACGUUAAUCGGGGCAGGGUGAGUCGACCCCUAAGGCGAGGCCGAAAGGCGUAGUCGAUGGGAAACGGGUUAAUAUUCCCGUACUUGGUGUUACUGCGAAGGGGGGACGGAGAAGGCUAUGUUGGCCGGGCGACGGUUGUCCCGGUUUAAGCGUGUAGGUGUGUGUUCCAGGUAAAUCCGGUUCACUUUAAC